rnacentral:rRNA from 1 species
GACGAACGCUGGCGGCGUGCUUAACACAUGCAAGUCGAACGGAAAGGCCCUGCUUUUGUGGGGUGCUCGAGUGGCGAACGGGUGAGUAACACGUGAGUAACCUGCCCUUGACUUUGGGAUAACUUCAGGAAACUGGGGCUAAUACCGGAUGGGAGCCCGUGCUGCGGGGGGGGGGGGGGAGAGUUUCGGCGGUUGGGGAUGGACUCGCGGCUUAUCAGCUUGUUGGUGGGGUAGUGGCUUACCAAGGCUUUGACGGGUAGCCGGCCUGAGAGGGUGACCGGCCACAUUGGGACUGAGAUACGGCCCAGACUCCUACGGGAGGCAGCAGUGGGGAAUAUUGCACAAUGGGCGGAAGCCUGAUGCAGCAACGCCGCGUGCGGGAUGACGGCCUUCGGGUUGUAAACCGCUUUCGCCUGUGACGAAGCGUGAGUGACGGUAAUGGGUAAAGAAGCACCGGCUAACUACGUG